rnacentral:rRNA from 1 species
AUUGAACGCUGGCGGCAGGCCUAACACAUGCAAGUCGAGCGCGCGGCGGACGGGUGUGUAAUGUAUGGGGACUGCCCGAUAGCGGGGGAUAACUACUGGAAACGGUGGCUAAUACCGCUGACUAUCGGAUAACCCAUAUGGGAUUAGCUAGUAGGUGGGGUAACGGCUCACUAAGGAGACGAGCUCUAGCUGGUCUGAGAGGAUGAUUGGGCACAAGGGAACUGAGACACGGCCCAGACUCCUACGGAGGCAGCAGUGGGGAAGAUUGCACAAUGGGCGCAAGCUUGAUGCAGCCAUGCCGCGUGUAUGAAGAAGGCCUUAGGGUUGUAAAGUACUGUCAGCGGGGAGGCGUUACCCGCAGAAGAAGCACCGGCUAACUACGUGCCAGCAGCCGCGGUAAUAC